rnacentral:rRNA from 1 species
UGGGGAAUUUUGGACAAUGGGGGAAACCCUGAUCCAGCCAUCCCGCGUGUGCGAUGAAGGCCUUCGGGUUGUAAAGCACUUUUGGCAGGAAAGAAACGUCAUGGGUUAAUACCCCGUGAAACUGACGGUACCUGCAGAAUAAGCACCGGCUAACUACGUGCCAGCAGCCGCGGUAAUACGUAGGGUGCAAGCGUUAAUCGGAAUUACUGGGCGUAAAGCGUGCGCAGGCGGUUCGGAAAGAAAGAUGUGAAAUCCCAGAGCUCAACUUUGGAACUGCAUUUUUAACUACCGGGCUAGAGUGUGUCAGAGGGAGGUGGAAUUCCGCGUGUAGCAGUGAAAUGCUUAGAUAUGCGGGGGCACACCGAUGGCGAAGGCAGCCUCCUGGGAUAACACUGACGCUCAUGCACGAAAGCGUGGGGAGCAAACAGG